ACCUCGGAGAGUUUGAUCCUGGCUCAGGACGAACGCUGGCGGCGUGCCUAAUACAUGCAAGUCGAGCGGACAGAAGGGAGCUUGCUCCCGGAUGUUAGCGGCGGACGGGUGAGUAACACGUGGGUAACCUGCCUGUAAGACUGGGAUAACUCCGGGAAACCGGAGCUAAUACCGGAUAGUUCUUUGAACCGCAUGGUUCAAGGAUGAAAGACGGUUUCGGCUGUCACUUACAGAUGGACCCGCGGCGCAUUAGCUAGUUGGUGAGGUAACGGCUCACCAAGGCGACGAUGCGUAGCCGACCUGAGAGGGUGAUCGGCCACACUGGGACUGAGACACGGCCCAGACUCCUACGGGAGGCAGCAGUAGGGAAUCUUCCGCAAUGGACGAAAGU
rnacentral:rRNA from 1 species